UGGAAGCAGCGGUGGAGGAGGAUGAGGUAGCCAACACUGUUUUUUAUAUAUAUAUAUAUAUAUAUAUUUAUUUUUUUAAUUUUUUUUAUUGGGAUAGCCCCCCAAAUAUUGGGACAUAUAAAAAAAGACAACUCUGUUCCGCAGAGUAGCUGUUGACAUUAUAGUUGCGCAGGCACUUUGUUGACUCUAGAGAACCUCGGGCCAAUCGCACAUCCCCGUGGCGGCGACUUUGCAUGCGGAUGUCAUCCAUAUCAACUUUCGAUGCCAGUUUCUGCGCCUACCAUGGUGACCACGGGUAACGGGGAAUCAGGGUUCCAUUCCAUACAGGGACCCUGAGAAACGGCUACCACAUGCAAGGAAGUCAGCA